GCCCUUCAGAGGGGGACAACAGUUGGAAACGACUGCUAAUACCGCAUACGAUCUAACCUCGGCAUCGAGGAAAGAUGAAAGGUGGCCUCUACAUGUAAGCUAUCACUGAAGAAGGGGAUUGCGUCUGAUUAGCUAGUUGGAGGGGUAACGGCCCACCAAGGCGAUGAUCAGUAGCCGGUCUGAGAGGAUGAACGGCCACAUUGGGACUGAGACACGGCCCAG
rnacentral:rRNA from 1 species